rnacentral:lncRNA from 1 species
AGAGAGUAGGGCGAGUACAGGAACUGGAUGAACAGCCUAGUGGCACGAAUCUGGAACCAGAGAUGCUGGAAGUGAGAAGAGGCCAGAAAGGUGGCACCAGGAGGAGCAUGCACAUCACCAUCUGGAUUGGGUAGAAAUCAGAGACUGGCAGACCAGAAGUGAUGACAGCCUGGGCCAGGGUGAAGGGGAAGGGUAGGAGGACUGGAUAAACUGAAUGUUAUUUAGGAGGCUGCAUCUCCAGGACUUGGUGAUAGAUAUGGUGCAGAGGCGUGCGGAAGGAGGUUUGUCAAGGGUGGCUCCAACAUUUCUGCCAUGAAAGUUGACAAAUGGUGUAGCUAUUCAUGGAGCCUGAAGACAUGGGAGGUGGAUGAGUUGCAUAUGCUGAUUGAAAGUGCAAAAGGAGGUAGCACUGGCAGGUGGAGCUCGAAGGGAGGUUGGAGACAGAGGCACCCAACUCGCGUCUUCAUAUCCCUGUCAGUUUGGGGUUUGAAUGUGGCGAGGUAUGUCCUUAAGAAAACUAGAGUGUGAAGAAGAUACAAAGCCAGGCAUGGGAAGGUGAGUCUGCAGAGGAAGCAGAAGCAACCACCAGAGAUGGAGGAAGAGAUGCAAAAACAUGUCGUAUUUUGAGGAAGAGGGAAGAGAAUAGAUUAAAGCAACAGACAUCCUACUUAGACUAAAAAUAAGACCCAUUUAUUUAACAACUAUUUCUUAAGGGCCUACUGUGAACAAGACUCUGGGGAUGGGUAAAGACUAGGGACAAGGCAGCGGAAAGACUUGUCCCUGGGUAUGUCUGACACCAGAGAAAAAGCCGUCUAUAAGACCUGCUUAUUUAUUACACUGUGUGAGGCCUUCUAUAUUCUGUGCUUGUAUCCUCUCAGAAGAUGAAGUUAUAUUGUGUUCUAGCUUUUUCUUUUCCCACAAGAAAAAGGUGCAGUGAAAUAUGAUUAGAGAUUUUUAACUAUAUGCCUUUUAAUGCGAGUUGUUCAAGACAUGGUCAUCUUAUAUUUUUGCGAAAUUACAAAUGAAACCCUUUAUGUUAUGUAACCAGAGGUAACUUCUAGAAUGAAAAAAAA